AGGAUGAACGCUGGCGGCGUGCCUAAUACAUGCAAGUCGAACGAGGUCUUCGGACCGAGUGGCGAACGGGUGAGUAACACGUUGGUACCUACCCCGAAGUGGGGAAUAACUGCCCGAAAGGGUGGCUAAUACCGCAUAAUACCGCAAGGUUAAAGCAGUAAUGCGCUUCGGGAGGGGCCUGCGUCCCAUUAGCUAGUUGGUAGGGUAAUGGCCUACCAAGGCGACGAUGGGUAGCUGGAUCGAGAGGUUGACCAGCCACACUGGGACUGAGAUACGGCCCAGACUCCUACGGGAGGCAGCAGUAAGGAAUCUUCCACAAUGGACGAAAGUCUGAUGGAGCAACGGCCGCGUGCGGGAUGACGGCCUUCGGGUUGUAAACUGCUUUUAUAUGGGAAGAUUAUGACGGUACCAUAUGAAUAAGGACCGGCUAACUACGCGCCAGCAGCCGC
rnacentral:rRNA from 1 species